rnacentral:rRNA from 1 species
UGAAUACGAGACGCUAAGGCGUCGAAGUAGUGUAUGUCAUACUUCCAAGAAAAGCUUGCACUGUCAUAAGUAAAAAAUGCCUGUACCAUAACCGACACAGGUGGGUAGGUAGAGUAUACUAAGGGGCGCGAGAUAACUCUCUCUAAGGAACUCGGCAAAAUAACUCCGUAACUUCGGGAGAAGGAGUACCUUAUUCUAUAAGGUUGCAAUAACAAGAUCCAAGCAACUGUUUAUCAAAAACACAGGUCUCCGCUAAGUCGUAAGACGAUGUAUGGGGGCUGACGCCUGCCCAGUGCCAGAAGGUUAAAGAAGUCGGUUAGCAUUAGCGAAGCUGGUAACUGAAGCCCUGGUGAACGGCGGCCGUAACGAUAACGGUCCUAAGGUAGCGAAAUUCCUUGUCGGGUAAGUUCCGACCCGCACGAAAGGCGUAAUGAUUUGGAUACUGUCUCGGAGAGGGGCUCGGUGAAAUAGACUUGUCUGUGAAGAUGCGGACUACCUGCACCAGGACAGAAAGACCCUAUGAAGCUUUACUGUAACUUGAAAUUGAAAUUGGACUUUAUUCGCGCAGUAUAGGUGGGAGGUGUUGAUUAUAAUCUUGCGGGAUUAUUGGAGCCAUCAGUGAGAUACCACUCUUGUAAUGUUAGAUUUCUAACUUUGAAUCAUUAUCUGGUCAAAGGACAGUUUCAGGCGGGCGGUUUGACUGGGGCGGUCGCCUCCCAAACGGUAACGGAGGCGUACAAAGGUUUCCUCUGAACGGGUAGAAAUCGUAUCUAGAGUGUAAAGGCAUAAGGAAGCUUGACUGUGAGACCUACAAGUCGAACAGGGACGAAAGUCGGUCUUAGUGAUCUGACGGUACUGAGUGGAAAGGCCGUCACUCAACGGAUAAAAGUUACUCUAGGAUAACAGGCUGAUCUCCCCCAAGAGUUCACAUCGACGGGGAGGUUUGGCACCUCGAUGUCGGCUCAUCGCAUCCUGGGGCGGUAGUACGUCCCAAGGGUUGGGCUGUUCGCCCAUGAAAGCGGUACGCGAGCUGGGUUCAAAACGUCGUGAGACAGUUCGGUCCAUAUCCGGUGUAGGCGUUAGAAUAUUGAGAGGAGCCUUCUUUAGUACGAGAGGACCGAGAAGGACAUACCUCUGGUGUACCAGUUAUCGUGCCAACGGUAAACGCUGGGUAGCUAUGUAUGGAGUGGAUAACCGCUGAAAGCAUCUAAGUGGGAAGCCCACCUCAAGAUAAGUAUUCUCA